rnacentral:tRNA from 1 species
AACUAAUGAACUUGAAUAAGUAUAUAUUUUGAAAAUAUAAAAUAAAAGAAAACUCUUUUAUUAGUUU